UACGUAGGGUGCGAGCGUUGCCCGGAUUUAUUGGGCGUAAAGGGCGCGCAGGCGGUACGGCACGUCCGUUGUGAAAUCGCUCGGCUCAACUGGGCGGGGUCAGCGGAUACGGCCGCACUUGAGCAAGCUAGGGGGCAAUGGAAUUCCCGGUGUAGUGGUGGAAUGCGUAGAUAUCGGGAGGAACACCUGUGGCGAAAGCGGCGCACUGGACCACAACUGACGCUGAGGCGCGAAAGCUAGGGGAGCAAACAGG
rnacentral:rRNA from 1 species